rnacentral:rRNA from 1 species
AGCCAUGCAUGUCUAAGCACAUGCCUUAAUACGGUGAAGCCGCGAAUAGCUCAUUACAACAGCCAUCGUUUACUAGAAAAUCGUUGUCCUACUUGGAUAACUGUGGCAAUUCUAGAGCUAAUACAUGCAAAAAAGCUCAGACUGAAAGGAAUGAGCGCAUUUAUUAGAAUAAAAACCAAUCGGGUCUAAAAGCCCGUCGUUUGGUGAAUCUGAAUAACUUUGCUGAUCGCACGGUCCUAGUACCGGCGACGUAUCUUUCAAGUGUCUGCCUUAUCAACUUUCGAUGGUAGGUUAUACGCCUACCAUGGUAGUAACGGGUAACGGAGAAUAAGGGUUCGACUCCGGAGAGGGAGCCUGAGAAACGGCUACCACAUCCAAGGAAGGCAGCAGGCGCGCAAAUUACCCACUUCCAGAACGGAGAGGUAGUGACGAAAAAUAACGAGACAGUCCUCUCUGAGGUCUGUCAUCGGAAUGGGUACAAUUUAAAUCCUUUAACGAGGAUCUAUUGGAGGGCAAGUCUGGUGCCAGCAGCCGCGGUAAUUCCAGCUCCAAUAGCGUAUAUUAAAGUUGUUGCGGUUAAAACGCUCGUAGUUGAAUCUGCGGCCUGGGAGAAUGGACCCCCGAAAGGGUGGUAACUGUUGCUCCUAGCCUAAAUUUUUAGUCUACUCUACGGUGCCCUUUACCGGGUGCUUAGAGUGACUGGAACGUUUACUUUGAAAAAAUUAGAGUGCUUAAAGCAGGCGAAUUCGCUUGAAUAAGGUGCAUGGAAUAAUGGAAUAGGACCUCGGUUCUAUUUUGUUGGUUUUCGGAGCCUGAGGUAAUGAU